rfam:Sphingobium quisquiliarum P25 contig037, whole genome shotgun sequence.
GGCAUAUCCCCGGGGGACCGCUCACAGGCGGUUGAGAGGCGGCUGAUGUGGCCGCGACCCGCUGAACCUGAUCCGGUUAAAACCGGCGUAGGGAGGGACGGUUUGUCACGA